GAUAUUUUUAAAAAUGAACAACAU
rnacentral:snRNA from 1 species